AUUGAACGCUGGCGGCACGCCUAACACAUGCAAGUCGAGCGGUAGCAGGACCUGUAGCAAUACAGGUUGCUGACGAGCGGCGGACGGGUGAGGAAUACGUAGGAACCUGCCUUAUAGUGGGGGAUAACUAAGGGAAACUUUAGCUAAUACCGCAUAAUCUCGCGAGAGGAAAGAUGCCGCAAGGUGGCGCUAAAAGAGGGGUCCGCGGCCGAUUAGCUAGUUGGUGAGGUAAGAGCUCACCAAGGCGAUGAUCGGUAACUGGUCUGAGAGGACGACCAGUCACACUGGGACUGAGACACGGCCCAGACUCCUACGGGAGGCAGCAGUGGGAAAUAUUGGACAAUGGGGGCAACCCUGAUCCAGCGAUGCCGCGUGAGUGAAGAAGGCCUUCGGGUCGUAAAGCUCUUUAGGUUGGGAAGAAGGGUGUUAGAGGAAAUGCUAAUACUUUGACGGUACCGACAGAAUAAGCACCGGCAAACUCUGUGCCAGCAGCCGCCGUAA
rnacentral:rRNA from 1 species